rnacentral:misc_RNA from 1 species
ACAUCAAAAUCCUCAGAAACACAACACCAAGCUUUCAAAUGAAACCAAUCGACCACUCUGCUAUCAUUGUAAACAAGCUGAGCAAGAGUGGUCUUACCCACUCCGCCCAUACCAACUAUAGGAAUCACACAAACCCCAUCAUCACAACCUUCCUCACUCACCACCAAUUGAAGAAUCUUCUCUUUCUCCUCAUCCCUACCACACACUACAUGUUCAUCAACCAAAGAACUAGUGGGUAAUCUUUUCAACGAUUUAAUACUCCUAUCAUCGCCACCACUUUCUCUCAGCUCUAAAUCAUUCUUUUUCUCAAUAACUUGUUGAAAUUUAGCGUUAAUAGUUUCAAUCUCAGACUUCAUUCUCAUAUUAAACCCAACACGAUUAGGAUUCAAAUUAUCCAAAAACCUGCGCAUAGCACUCCACACCUUACUUGAGCUCCCCUCUUCUUGUCGCUGCUCAAUUUGUUGUUUCCGGCGCAAACCCUCGAGAGAAAACUCGUCGAUGAUGUCCUCUCCAUCGUAAACCAAGUCUCGAAGCUCUCUCAGCCAAAUCUGAACAAGACGAUUACUGAUUUGCUUCUCUUCAGCAUCUGCAAGCACCGCCUUGAUUUUGGUAAGCGUUUUCUCCAGUUUCUCCAGCUCCGAAUGGACCUGGGCUCCGCCAACAGAAUCUAGAAGGCCUGGAGAGGUCAAUUUGUUGAUUACGGUGUCGAUUACAACGGAGAUAAUCACGUCUGCCAUUACCAAGAGGUUUCUUUGGUUGCAGUUGAGAUAAACUUGGUGAUUUUAGCUUUUUCGCUACUUUUUUUUCGCACGAAAAAAUGUUUAAGAAGAUGAAACCGACCUCGAUUGUGACGGAUUUGUUGCACAGCUGG